AGCAGCCGCGGUAAUUCCAGCUCCAAUAGCGUAUAUUAAAGUUGCUGCAGUUAAAAAGCUCGUAGUUGAAUUUCGGGACCAUCAUGUCGGUCGUGUCUCGGUACGUACUGGCAUCGUUGGUUUCUCCCUUCUGACGAACCAUGAUGUCAUUAAUUUGGUGUCAUGGGGAAUCAGGACUGUUACUUUGAAAAAAUUAGAGUGUUUAAAGCAGGCUCACGCUUGAAUACAUUAGCAUGGAAUAAUGAAAUAGGACGUUUGAUUCUAUUUUGUUGGUUUCUAGGAUCGACGUAAUGAUUAAUAGGGAUAGUUGGGGGCAUUAGUAUUCAAUUGUCAGAGGUGAAAUUCUUGGAUUUAUUGAAGACUAACUACUGCGAAAGCAUUUGCCAAGGAUGUUUUCAUUAAUCAAGAACGAAAGUUAGGGGAUCGAAGACGAUCAGAUACCGUCGUAGUCUUAACCAUAAACUAUGCCGACUAGGGAUCGGAUGAUGUUAAUUUUUUAAUGACUCAUUCGGCGCCUUACG
rnacentral:rRNA from 1 species